ACCCCACUCUAUUAAGCCGGCCAUUUCAACAUGUGAGAGUUGUAAUGGUGUGCUAGCGGUGGGAACAUUAAUUAUACGAGUGUGUGUAUGGUUUCAAACCUUUGUUUGUUAUCCAAAGGGUUAUCUCGUACA